AGUGAACGCUGGCGGUAGGCCUAACACAUGCAAGUCGAACGGCAGCACAGUAAGAGCUUGCUCUUACGGGUGGCGAGUGGCGGACGAGUGAGGAAUACAUCGGAAUCUACUUUUUCGCGGGGGAUAACGUAGGGAAACUUACGCUAAUACCGCAUACGACCUACGGGGGAAAGCAGGGGAUCUUCGGACGUUUCUCGAUUGACUGAGCCGGUGUCGGAUUAGCUAGUUGGCGGGGUAAAGGCCCACCAAGGCGACGAUCCGUAGCUGGUCUGAGAGGAUGAUCAGCCACACUGGAACUGAGACACGGUCCAGACUCCUACGGGAGGCAGCAGUGGGGAAUAUUGGACAAUGGGCGCAAGCCUGAUCCAGCCAUACCGCGUGAGUGAAGAAGGCCUUCGGGUUGUAAAGCCCUUUUGUUAGGAAAGAAAAGCAGCAUGUUAAUACCCCGCUGUUCUGACGGUACCCAAAGAAUAAGCACCGGCUAACUUCGUG
rnacentral:rRNA from 1 species